rnacentral:rRNA from 1 species
CGCAUCUGUGCAUGCAGCAUAUCAAUAAGCGGAGGAAAAGAAACUAACAAGGAUUCCCUUAGUAACGGCGAGUGAAGCGGGAAGAGCUCAAAUUUGAAAUCUUAAAGGUUUUCCCUUGACGAAUUGUAGUUUAAAGAAGUAUUUUCUGUUGAAGGUUUUGGUAAAAGUUCUUUGGAAUAGGACAUCAUAGAGGGUGAGAAUCCCGUAUUUGACCAUUACUUUCAGCUUUGUGAUACACUUUCAAAGAGUCGGAUUGUUUGGGAAUGCAGUCCAAAAUGGGUGGUAAAUUUCAUCUAAAGCUAAAUAUUGGCGAGAGACCGAUAGCGAACAAGUACCGUGAGGGAAAGAUGAAAAGAACUUUGAAAAGAGAGUUAAACAGUACGUGAAAUUGUCAAAAGGGAAGCGUUUGACACCAGUGUUGUUUUUCUGAAAAUCAAUUAAAGAACUGUUUAUGCUAAGUUGUUUAGACUUUAUCAGCUAUCUGUUUAGUUUUGAGCUUUUCUUUAAUGCACUUUUCAGUUAACAAGUCAACAUCAAUUUCUUUUGCUGUAAAAAAGCUUGAGGAAGGUGGCUUGAGAUUCGUCUUAAGUGUUUAUAGCCUCUUGCCUAUGCAGUCGGAGAGAUUGAGGUCUGCAGCGUAGAUCCUUCGGGGCUAAAUGCAUUUGUGCUAAGUUAUAGCAUUUUAUAGACAACUUGUUGACUAUGAUUUGUCUUGUAGCUUACUCGCUUAUGUUAUUUUACCUACGCUUAGGAUGUUGAUAGUCACAGCGUGUAC